GUACGUAGGGCGCAAGCGUUAUCCGGAAUUAUUGGGCGUAAAGAGCUCGUAGGCGGUUUGUCGCGUCUGCCGUGAAAGUCGGGCUCAACUCCGGAUCUGCGGUGGGUACGGGCAGACUAGAGUGAUGUAGGGGAGACUGGAAUUCCUGGUGUAGCGGUGAAAUGCGCAGAUAUCAGGAGGAACACCCGUGGCGAAGGCGGCUCCCUGGGACGGUACUGACGCUGAGACGCGAAAGCGUGGGGAGCGAACAGG
rnacentral:rRNA from 1 species